rnacentral:rRNA from 1 species
UACAGAGGGUGCAAGCGUUAAUCGGAAUUACUGGGCGUAAAGCGUGCGUAGGCGGUUCGCUGUGUCCGAUGUGAAAGCCCCGGGCUUAACCUGGGAAUGGCAUUGGAAACUGGCGGGCUUGAGUGUGGCAGAGGGGGGUGGAAUUCCGGCGUGUAGCAGUGAAAUGCGUAGAGAUGCGGAGGAACACCGAUGGCGAAGGCAGCCCCCUGGGUUAACACUGACGCUCAGGCACGAAAGCGUGGGGAGCAAACAGG